CCUACGGGUGGCUGCAGUGGGGAAUAUUGGACAAUGGGCGAAAGCCUGAUCCAGCCAUGCCGCGUGUGUGAAGAAGGCCUUCGGGUUGUAAAGCACUUUCAGUGGGGAAGAAAGCCUUGGGGCUAAUACCCUCGAGGAAGGACAUCACCCACAGAAGAAGCACCGGCUAACUCCGUGCCAGCAGCCGCGGUAAUACGGAGGGUGCGAGCGUUAAUCGGAAUUACUGGGCGUAAAGCGCGCGUAGGCGGUCUGAUAAGCCGGUUGUGAAAGCCCCGGGCUCAACCUGGGAACGGCAUCCGGAACUGUCAGGCUAGAGUGCAGGAGAGGAAGGUAGAAUUCCCGGUGUAGCGGUGAAACGCGUAGAGAUCGGGAGGAAUACCAGUGGCGAAGGCGGCCUUCUGGACUGACACUGACGCUGAGGUGCGAAAGCGUGGGUAGCAAACAGGAUUAGAUACCCGGUAGUC
rnacentral:rRNA from 1 species